rnacentral:tRNA from 1 species
GCCACGGUGGUCUAGUGGUUAGAACGCUGGCCUUGUAAUCCUGGGGUCCCGGGUUCGAUUCCCGGUGGUGCCC